GGGGGUAUAGCUCAAUUGGGAGAGCAGCAGACUGAAGACCAAUCCAGUUGAAUUCUGAAGGUCCCGCGUUCGAUCCGCGGUACCCCCA